GAUGAACGCUGGCGGCGUGCCUAAUACAUGCAAGUCGAGCGAACAGACGAGGAGCUUGCUCCUUCGACGUUAGCGGCGGACGGGUGAGUAACACGUAGGUAACCUACCUAUAAGACUGGGAUAACUUCGGGAAACCGGAGCUAAUACCGGAUAAUAUUUCGAACCGCAUGGUUCGAUAGUGAAAGAUGGCUUUGCUAUCACUUAUAGAUGGACCUGCGCCGUAUUAGCUAGUUGGUAAGGUAACGGCUUACCAAGGCAACGAUACGUAGCCGACCUGAGAGGGUGAUCGGCCACACUGGAACUGAGACACGGUCCAGACUCCUACGGGAGGCAGCAGUAGGGAAUCUUCCGCAAUGGGCGAAAGCCUGACGGAGCAACGCCGCGUGAGUGAUGAAGGUCUUCGGAUCGUAAAACUCUGUUAUUAGGAAGAACAAACGUGUAAGUAACUGUGCACGUCUUGACGGUACCUAAUCAGAAAGCCACGGCUAACUACGUG
rnacentral:rRNA from 1 species